rnacentral:rRNA from 1 species
CAGCAGCCGCGGUAAUACGGAGGGUGCGAGCGUUAAUCGGAAUUACUGGGCGUAAAGCGUACGCAGGCGGUUUGUUAAGUCAGAUGUGAAAUCCCCGAGCUUAACUCGGGAACUGCAUUUGAAACUGGCAGGCUAGAGUCUCGUAGAGGGGGGUAGAAUCCCAGGUGUAGCGGUGAAAUGCGUAGAGAUCUGGAGGAAUACCGGUGGCGAAGGCGGCCCCCUGGACGAAGACUGACGCUCAGGUACGAAAGCGUGGGGAGCAAACAGGAUUAGAUACCCGCGUAGUCCCUGUCUCUUAUAC